CAAACGACCUGCCUCCAUUAAGCAGAGCUCCUCUGGAGUAUAACUCAGUGCUGCUCCAGACCCUGCCCAGCUUCCAGACAUCAGGCCCAGCCCUUGCCAUCCUUCUGUCCAGACGUGGGACUUGCAAAGCGGAUUCAGAGACUGUGACGGCAGGGCAACAAGCCAAGACCGGCUCCAUCUUCAUAUAACUCCCGCUGGAGGUGGGAGAGUGCGAGCUGGACUCUGCCCAUCCCUCUGCUGUGUGCGUUGGUCCAGGUGUACGUCUUCACGGGAGCUCAUCACCACUCUAAUGAGAAUGAUCACUGCUCAUCUGUCUUCAUCCACAUCCAACAGAGAGCACCUGCUACUAUCUGUGGAGUCGCGGGCUGGGCACACAGAGAGAGCCGGGGGACGCCGCAGAAACGUCGGCAAGCCUGGAGGAAAGGGCACGGAUCUGGGCUGAGGGCUGCUGGUGACAUCUUAUCACAGCCUGGUUCCUUCAGUCUGACUCACAGCCUUCAAGCCUGCCUGAGGAUAUAUGUAGAGGCAAGGCUGUGCUGCGGACACACACAGGCAGACACACAAACACACCAUCCUGGUACAGGGCAAGGCCCCUUCUUUGGUAAAGUCUCAAUGAGCUGUGUCACCAUGGCAACUGCCUCAUUAGAAAGUCACUGGUGGUGGCCAUUGCCCA